UCCAUGGCCAUUAAAUGGCACCGUUCUCCUUAAAGUUAAAAUUAAAAUUUUCCUUUUUUAAAAAACAUUUCUAUUUCAUUUUCUUUAAAAAAAACAGAGGGGAGGGGACUCUCUGCUAGGGUUUUCAAAACCCACUCCCUAUCCACCGCCAGCAAAUGAGCCUCCGACGCUUCUCCGGUCUUUCACCGCGACAGAGAGGACCUCAACGGCACCAGGUGAAGGAGAACGUGGAAACGAGCAUUGCAGGACUGCUAAACGUGAGAACACGACGUGGGCAGUGGAACGGUUGCUGCGGCGUGGGCAGUUGCUUCAAUCUACUUAGGGUUUCUUUGGCUGUUAUGGGUUUGGGCCAUUAGGGUUAGGUCUAGGUGGGCCUGAUGUAUUGGGUCAUUGUUUUAUUUUUAGUAUUUGAUUUGGGCUAUGUAAAUGGUUUUGGGCUUUAGGCUUAGUUGGGCCCGGGUCAAAAAUUAGGUAUUACAGUAAUCAUGUGUUGUAACACCACUUACUCGUCUCUAUCAUCGAAUUAGGGUUACAGGAUGCUACAACAAUUAUCAGAACACACAAAGGCUAUUUCUAUACAAAAUUUAUUUCAAAACAA